rnacentral:rRNA from 1 species
UGGGGAAUAUUGCACAAUGGGCGCAAGCCUGAUGCAGCCAUGCCGCGUGUAUGAAGAAGGCCUUCGGGUUGUAAAGUACUUUCAGCGGGGAGGAAGGUGUUGAGGUUAAUAACCUCAGCAAUUGACGUUACCCGCAGAAGAAGCACCGGCUAACUCCGUGCCAGCAGCCGCGGUAAUACGGAGGGUGCAAGCGUUAAUCGGAAUUACUGGGCGUAAAGCGCACGCAGGCGGUCUGUCAAGUCGGAUGUGAAAUCCCCGGGCUCAACCUGGGAACUGCAUUCGAAACUGGCAGGCUAGAGUCUUGUAGAGGGGGGUAGAAUUCCAGGUGUAGCGGUGAAAUGCGUAGAGAUCUGGAGGAAUACCGGUGGCGAAUGCGGCCCCCUGGACAAAGACUGACGCUCAGGUGCGAAAGCGUGGGGAGCAAACA